UCCAGACUCCUACGGGAGGCAGCAGUGGGGAAUAUUGCACAAUGGGGGAAACCCUGAUGCAGCGACGCCGCGUGAGCGAAGAAGUAUUUCGGUAUGUAAAGCUCUAUCAGCAGGGAAGAAAAAUGACGGUACCUGAGUAAGAAGCACCGGCUAAAUACGUGCCAGCAGCCGCGGUAAUACGUAUGGUGCAAGCGUUAUCCGGAUUUACUGGGUGUAAAGGGAGCGCAGGCGGUGCGGCAAGUCUGAUGUGAAAGCCCGGGGCUCAACCCCGGGACUGCAUUGGAAACUACCGAACUAGAGUGUCGGAGAGGUAAGUGGAAUUCCUAGUGUAGCGGUGAAAUGCGUAGAUAUUAGGAGGAACACCAGUGGCGAAGGCGGCUUACUGGACGAUAACUGACGCUGAGGCUCGAAAGCGUGGGGAGCAAACAGGAUUAGAUACCCCAGUAAG
rnacentral:rRNA from 1 species